rnacentral:rRNA from 1 species
AAAAUAACCAUGAUUCCCCUAGUAACGGCGAGUGAAGAGGGAAAAGCUCAAAGUUGGAACCUGGCUGUCCUAGAUAGUCCGGAUUGUAAACUAAAGAGCGUGAAUCCAGGCAAGCCGGUUGAUCAAGUCCUUUGGAAUGAGGCGCCACUGAGGGUGAGAGCCCCGUAAAUCGACUGAGCAUUUGUCUUUUGUGUUUCGCGUUCAAAGAGUCAGGUUGUUUGGGAAUGCAGCCUAAAGCUGGUGGUAAAUCCCACCUAAAGCUAAAUACAGGCGAGAGACCGAUAGCGAACAAGUACCGUGAGGGAAAGAUGAAAAGUACUUUGAAAAGAGAGUUAAACAGUAUGUGAAAUUGCCAAGAGGGAAGCAUUUGGAGUUAGACUGACUUGAAGUUAAUCAGCUUGGUCUUUGGACUGGGUGUACUUGACUUCUAUGUCUGCCAAUAGCAGUUAGUCCUGGUGGAAAAAACUGAAGGGAAGGUAGUCCUUCGGGAUGUUUAUAGACCUUUGGAAAAUACACUGGGAUUGACUGAGGAAUGCAGUAGAUGCUAUUAAGGCUUCGUCUAGUAGGUGUUAGGUGAAGGUACUUGGUAUUUUCAGCUUGCUGAUGUGCUAGGUUACUUGAGCUUAAUUGCUUGCUAGAACUGUAAUCUACUUUGGUUAUUGGCUUAAUGACUCUAAAUGGC